AUUGAACGCUGGCGGCAGGCCUAACACAUGCAAGUCGGGCGAGUGGCGGACGGGUGAGUAAUGUCUGGGAAACUGCCUGAUGGAGGGGGAUCACUACUGGAAACGGUAGCUAAUACCGCAUACCAUCAGAUGUACCCAUAUGGGAUUAGCUAGUAGGUGGGGUAACGGCUCACCUAGGCGACGAUCCCUAGCUGGUCUGAGAGGAUGACCAGCAACACUGGGACUGAGACACGGCCCAGAAGCCUAGGGGAGGCAGCAGUGGGGAAGAUUGCACAAUGGGCGCAAGCCUGAUGCAGCCAUGCCGCGUGUAUGAAGAAGGCCUUCGGGUUGUAAAGUACUUUCAGUGGGGAGGCGUUACCCGCAGAAGAAGCACCGGCUAACUCCGUGCCAGCAGCCGCGGUAAUUC
rnacentral:rRNA from 1 species